AAACCCCGCCCCUUAAUGACACAACCGUUGUUUGGCCCGUGACGUUGCAUGUACACGUCGCCUAGUAGGAUGUGUUUAAUGAAGAUGGUGGCGGUGGGUCAUACUAACUCUGCGGCACAUUUCUUCACCUGAGUUAUAGUCUCUUCGGUGACAUCUCUAGAGUGACCAGGUCCACGGACCUUUGCUUGUGGCCAUGCAGCCCCCUCAGCGUAUUGGACCUCCAGGAGCCACUGGACCCCCUCCUCCUUCUGGGCCCAAUAUGUUCCGGAGGACAAGGCCUCACAAACACACAGCGGCUGCCACUGCAGCAAUGCAACCUGUGACACAGCCCAUGACAGACCCUUUUGCUUUUGUUAGAGCACCUUCUCCUAUGGCUCCAGGAGGUCUUCCUUUGUUGCCGAGCAGCAACCCUCCGCCCAUGCAAGCCCCUCCUAACACCAUGUAUUCUCAAGCAGGUGGAGGGCUGCCACCACAACCUCAGACAUUUGAGGAUGUCCCGGCUGCUGCCUCUGGUCCAAGAACAUCCUCUGGUCCAGGGGUGACUCUUUUCAAUCCUCACAUUUCAGCCCCCUCUGUUGGUUUCCCAGUUCUUAAUCCUGCCGGAUAUGCAGCUUCCCACACAGAACAUGGUUAUUUCAAUUCAAAAGAACAGCCACCAUCUACUGCCGCAGAGCCGCCGCGGGUUUCUUCUGCUCCACCACUCAGUCAGCCCCAGAUGAACCAAGGAUUUAUUGGGCAGCCAUGUCCCAGGCCUGGUCCUCCCCAGACAGUUCCCCCAAGUACCACCUCCUCUUCACAAUGGGCCCCCGAUCAUGUAAGUCGACCUCCGUCAGUUCAAAACUACUUCCAGCCUACCAGUGACCCUCCACCACAGCAACUGCAGCCUUAUAGUGUGCCUCCACAGCCCCAGGUUUACCCACCACAUGCCUCGUCACCUCACCACAACACAACAACUCCUCCAUCGCAACCAGUCAAUCCCCAUAUGCAGAUGCCCCUUCCUCCCCCAAACCUGCCAAUGGUUCCAAGUCCUCAAUGGCCUGACCCAAAUGCAUCCUUUCAGCAAAAUUCACAUCUGCAAACUCAAAACUAUUUCAGUCAGAGCUCUACUGCCCAUGAGUCCUGGUUCAGUCAACCUCCACAGGACUCAGGCUACCAUCAAAUGGGCACUGGACCAGACCACUCUCAGCCUCAAACUGACUCCGGUGACUUACAGCCUGCUCCGUGCGAUGAGCAGGGCGCGUGCGCUGCUCCUGCUUUUGUGCCGUACUCCCAGGACUCUGGCACUCUAUCAAUGUUCUUCAAAGACGAUGUUGAAAAUGAAGAGACACUUGCUGGAGAUAGAAAUAAGGCGGUGAAUGGUAUUCCCAGACCUUUUCAACACCACAACAACCCACAAGCCCAUAGUUUCCACACAGAUGGCCCUUUGGAUUAUCACAGUGCUUCUCACCAGGAACAUUCUUAUGUACCAUAUAUGAACGAUGGCACUCAUGGGCCACCCUUAAACAUCCAGAAACCUCCUGAUUCUCACUACGACCAUGUGGAGAAUUUAGAGUGUGUCCCGAACCAGGAAGUAUUACCAAGUGAAACCCUUGGAAGUCCUGCAGCUCCAGCAGUGCAAGAAGUAGACCAGUUUGAAACAGGGCCUAACCUGGAAACUCCAGAUUCUGCUCCAAGGCCAAUUAGAUCUGCCAGUGUGUCCUCCAACUACAGCAAUAUGAGCCAUGGAAGUGGAACUGGUGCUCGGAGACAUCAAGGAGUAGUGGGGACAUUUAUUCAACAAGAAAGUCCUCGUCUCACGGAUGAUCCUAACCUCUCUGCUGCGACCGGUGGCUAUUUUGAGCAAAUUGACACUUCCCCAGACACAGGUGCAAGACAGAGCACUUCAGAACAAAUGUGGCAUCCAACACCGAGCCCACCCAAACCAACUGGUGUCUUUCAGGCCAGUGCUAACAGCUCGUUUGAACCUGUUCGUUCACAUGGUGUUGGGGUACGUCCAGCUGAGGUUGAUGUGGCUAAAAUUGUAGCAGAAGGAGGUGCAGACUCAACACCUGGCAACCUGGAGCAGCCACCAGACAAUUUGGAAAAUAUUUACAGUGGAGGACAGCCCUUGCCUCCUAUGAUUGGAGGUGGUGUGCCUCAUCCAACACGUCCAGUGGUUCAUUCCCACUCGAGACCAUCAUCCCGUGCAUUUGGGGCAAGUCGGCCGUGUGAGAGCCCUGCCACCACUCUGUGGGCUCAAAAUGAUCCUACAAGCUUGGGCGCUAACAUCCUUUUAGCUCCUGCUGCCCCAGUAGUUCUUGUCCCUUUACGAGAACCGAGUGUUGAUGUUAUUCAACCUCCUGAGGAUAGUCCCCUAGACCUGCAGCCUUCUAAGAGAGUCCAGCCAAGCUUACAACAACCUUCAGAGAACUUAGAGAACCCUCCAAAGGUGAGUGAUGCAGAGUCAGCUGACUCUCAAGGCAACAUGGGAUAUGCAUCUCUUCUGGUGUCUGAGUCACUCCACCAAUCUGUUUUAAUUGCCCCUCCUGUGUCAAACUAUAGUGUGAUUUCCCCCACUGUUCCAUCUCAAACGGCCAAUCAAAGUAGCCCUAGUGAAACUGCCCCACCUGUGAAAUCACUUGCACAGGGUCAAGGUGCAAGUUCCUCCCAAUCACCACCAGCCUCUAAUUUAAACCCGUUGUUUGCCUCUGGACCAAUAAGCUUCAACUCUCCAGUCCCUAACCAGGGUCCACUCAACCUGACCAGAGACAACACAGAGGCGUCAACACCUGAAAUCACAUGUCCGCCACAGCCUCAUUCAACUGGCCCUCCUCUUUCAGGGGGCCAAUCAGAAAACCACUCUUCUCUUCCAGUUAAUUCACAGGCUUCUCUUGCUGCUUCUGUCUGUAAUCACAAACCGCCUUCAAAUUAUGAACUGCUUGAUUUUUCUAUGCACCAAUCUCAAAACCCAGCGCCUGGCCAUCCUUCCUCUCUUCACGAGUCUCCACAGUCUAGUAAUGGAUUUUAUCUACAGGUAACCAAAGAUGGUCAGCAGGGAGCAAGAUCCAACACUAAUGCCCCUGUCCAGACCCCAGACCCUUCAUCUAACCCACAAUUAGCACCAACAACCUCCCAGUCAGCUUCAAAUACAGCGCCACCUCCAAAUGAACCCCCUAAGACAUCACAGCCUAAAAUGCUACAUCAUGGACAAGGAGAUGGUCCUCCUAUUCCUGUCAGCGGGGGGCAGCCUGCACACAGUCGGUAUCCAGCUCUACCAGCAGCAGGGCCACCCUUGUCUGCUGCAGGGGACUGUCCUCCUGUUCCGUAUCCUCCCGGGCCUCGAGGACCAGUGCCACCUGGAGCUCCACAGCCAGCUCCCGCAGAUCCACCGCGGCCGCCCUCCACUGCAGGUAGUCAGCAAGGUUACGCCCCCCCACAACCUCCAAUGCCAGGACACUUAUAUGGUGGCUAUUAUGGUUAUUAUGGAGAAUACCCAGACGGAAGAGCACCAUAUCCUCCUGGUCAAUACCCACCUCCAACUGGGGACCCAAGAGCACCACAGUACUAUCAAGAUGGCAGGGGCCGAUACGAAGGUCAAACCUCAGCUUAUCGUGAUCCAAACUACCAGUACAGAGAGCCUCAGCCAGAACGGCCCAGCUCCAGGGCGAGUCAGUACUCUGACCGGCCCUCGUCCAGACAAGGCUACGCUGAAGAUUAUCACAGAGCAAACCGAAGUGCCUACGACGAGUAUUAUGCCAAUUACUCCAAGAACUAUGAUUACAGAGGAUACAAUUAUGGACAGUAUGACCCACGAUACAGAGGAUACUACGAUCAGUCCUACUGGUCUAAUUAUGAUGAAAGCUACAGAGGCAGGGAGAACUACUAUAAUCAGCAAGUGUACCCUGCCAGGAAAGACGGCUAUGAUGAACAGUGGCGCUACUACCCUGGUUACGAUCCCAGUUUUGACGACGAUUACAACAGGCGUGCUGAAAUGUAUGGCAACGACUUCGAUCGACGCAGCGUCCAUAGUGAGCAGUCGGCACACAGUGUGCACAGCUCUCACAGCAACCACAGCAGAAGAAGCAGCUUCAGCUCACAGUCGCAGCAGAGCCAAGCGUACAGGAGUCAGCCUGAUCUAGUGUCAGCAGUGUAUGAUACCACAUCCUCCACACUUGCUGGAGACUAUUCCUAUAGACAAUACCCAAAUGCAGCUGAUGCUUCCCAAAACUACAACCAGUACAUUUAUCCACCUGAGUACAUAGCAGACAGCACCUGGGUCGCCCCUGAGCAGCCUCCGCCUCGCCCUGCAACCCCAGAGAAGUUUAUCAUACCCCACCGCUGUGCACGCUUUGGACCCGGUGGUCACCUGGUUCAGGUUCUGCCUAAUCUGCCUUCAUAUGGACAGCCUGCACUUGUUGAUAUCCACAGCAUAGAGACACUGCUACAGGAUACUCCAGAUCAGGCAGAACUAAGAACCUUCCCUGGACCUCUGCUGAAAGAGGAAACCCAUAAGGUGGAUGUGAUAAAGUUCUCCCAGAACAAAGCCCUGGAAUGUUCUCGAGACAACAAUCUCUUGGACAAGGACUCGGCCCGUCUGCUGUGGGACUUCAUAGUCCUGCUCUGCAGACAGAAUGGGACUGUGGUUGGCACAGACAUCGCUGACCUCCUGCUAAAGGAGCAUCGCUCUGUUUGGCUACCGGGCAAAAGUCCAAAUGAAGCCAACUUGAUCGAUUUUACCAAUGAACCUUUGGCACAUGCUGAGGAAGACCCAGCAGCUGGACCUCUGUCUCUGCUGUCUGACACUGUGAUGACCGUCCCAGAGAAUGUGGGCAAAGAAACGGAACGCUUCAGGGAGCUGCUCCUGUUUGGCCGCAAAAAAGACGCACUCGAAGCAGCCAUGAAGGUAGGUCUCUGGGGCCAUGCCCUGUUGUUGGCCAGUAAGAUGGACAGCAGGACCCAUGCACGUGUUAUGACAAGGUUUGCCAACAGUUUGCCCAUCAAUGACCCGCUCCAGACGGUCUACCAGCUGAUGUCUGGAAGGAUGCCAGCAUCUGCCACUUGCUGCGGUGAGGAAAAGUGGGGUGACUGGCGCCCCCACCUGGCCAUGGUGCUGUCUAACCUCACACACACGCUGGACUUGGAUACCCGAACAAUCACCACUAUGGGAGACACUCUGGCUUCCAAGGGGCUGAUUGAUGCAGCACACUUCUGCUACCUGAUGGCCCAAGUUGGUCUUGGUGUUUACACAAAGAAGAGCACCAAGUUGGUUCUCAUCGGCUCCAAUCACAGUUUACCCUUUUACCAAUUUGCAUCCAAUGAAGCCAUUCAGAGGACGGAGGCCUAUGAAUAUGCUCAGUCUCUGGGAUCCCAACCCUGCUCACUGCCCAAUUUCCAGGUGUUCAAGUUAAUCUAUGCGUGUCGCUUGGCUGAAGCUGGGCUGAGCGCUCAGGCCUUCCACUACUGUGAGGUUAUUUCUAAGACUGUCCUCAUGCAGCCUUCCUACUACUCUCCUGUCUUCAUUAGCCAAAUCAUACAGAUGUCAGAGAAGCUUAGAUUUUUCGAUCCACAGCUGAGAGAGAAGCCGGAGCAGGAACUGUUUAAUGAACCGGACUGGCUGAUUGAUCUCAGACAGUUGGACGGACAGAUCAGGACGGGGGUCAUUGCCUACAGGGCUCACAGAACAACUCCCACCCAGUUUGACUCCAGCAGCCCCUCUGAAAUAGAUGAACCCACUCCCCUUGAACCUUACAACGCACCCCUGGAGGUGGAUGGUCCCGUUUCUGACAACCAUCCAAUGGGUUCACUACUGCCUGGGUCUCCUCCACAGGGAGUGCAGCUCAUGCCUGCAGCCCCACCUUCCAUUCUUCAAGAUGGCAUGAUUCCACCUCAGCCUCUGCCCCCUGGUGACGUCCCCCAGUUCUAUCCAGUUCCUCCCACUGGACCACCAGGUCAGAUUUCACUGCCAGGCUACGCUCCACAGGAUCCUGGCUUUUCUGCUCCCCUGUUCCACCCACAGCCUGAGCAUCUAGAAAUGUAUCCAGGAUCCCAUCAGCAGCCCUGCCCUCCUCCUCUGCCGCCUCCACAAAUGGGCCAGAUGUUGCCACAAAUACCUGGUCCGGUACCACAGACACCUGUGCAGAUGAAUCCCCCUAUGCUUCAGAUGCCUCCGCACAUGCCCCCAUCUCCUGGACACAUGGCACCUGUAGAUCCGCUGCAACACCCACCUGUUCAAGACAUGCAGAUUGCUCAACAGAUGCCGUCGUCCCCACGCCGGAGCUCCUUCACCCCUCAGACGGACAUCUACGACCACAUGGCCCACAUGGGUCCUGGGAGGUCAAGGACAACUUCGCAGUCCUCGGUGCAUAUGAUUUCCGGACGUCGCUCACGCACCACCUCUGAGUCCUCCACGCACUCAAUUGGACGAGAGCGCAGCAACUCGGCCGUGAAGCAGACGUCUCCACCGCCACCCUGCAUUCCUGAGCAGCCACACAAAGAAGAGGCCAAGAAAGUGAAAAAGGAGUCUCCAAAGAAGAGUGGUGGGGGUGGUAGCUGGCUGAAGUGGUUCUAUGGGAAGGGGAAGAAAGAGGCUCACUUGCCAGACGACAAUAACAAAUCUAUUGUUUGGGAUGAACAGAAAAAACGAUGGGUGGACAUAAACGAGCCUGAAGAGGAGAGUAAGCCCCCUCCUCCUCCUCCAAUUGGAUUCCCCAAGAUGGGUCCAGGGCCCAUUGGACCUGCUGUUUGAGGCCCUGGAGGACCUCCUGGACCUCCUAGUGGUGGUCCCCCUGUCAACAUGUUCUCCAGGAAGGCAGGUACAAAGAGCAGAUACGUGGACGUUCUAAACCCCAGUAGAACAGCCAAACCUGGUGGGUUAGCUCCUGCUCCAGCGGACAUCUUUGCUCCCCUGGCCCCCAUGACCAUCCCUGCAAACCGAUUCGUGCCUAGUUCAG